UCUUGCUGUCCACUUGCCUCUUCUAUUCUGUCUUAAGCAGCCACAGCAAUAUCCUAUCUCUUCUGCUACUCAUCCAUACAACAUAGCUGUUUUUCUCAUUGGAAUAUUCUUUGUUAUCCAGAAAAUGCCAUUUGAAAAUGAGUUUCUCUGAUCUUUCAUCUUACUGGGACAUGACCGAGCUAUGAAAAGUGAACUUCAAGAUCUUUGGGAUAUGAGCAUUUGAAGUUGUUUUGUACAAAGACUUUUGAAGGAACCAGUGU
rnacentral:lncRNA from 1 species